CACGUAGGGUGCGAGCGUUGUCCGGAAUUAUUGGGCGUAAAGAGCUCGUAGGCGGUCUGUCGCGUCGGCUGUGAAAACUCGGGGCUCAACUCCGAGCUUGCAGUCGAUACGGGCAGGCUAGAGUUCGGCAGGGGAGACUGGAAUUCCUGGUGUAGCGGUGAAAUGCGCAGAUAUCAGGAGGAACACCGGUGGCGAAGGCGGAUCUCUGGGCCGAUACUGACGCUGAGGAGCGAAAGCGUGGGGAGCGAACAGG
rnacentral:rRNA from 1 species